rnacentral:rRNA from 1 species
UGUAAUUGGAAUGAUGGUGACCCAAACCCUCACCAGAGUAGCAAUUGGAGGGCAAGUCUGGUGCCAGCAGCCGCGGUAAUUCCAGCUCCAAUAGCGUAUAUUAAACUUGUUGCAGUUAAAAAGCUCGUAGUUGUAUUUUUGCGUUGACGGUUUGACCAUUUGGUUGGUUAUUUCGUUUUCGCUUUUGGGAAUUUCCCUUUUUACUUUGAGAAAAUUAGAGUGUUUCAAGCAGACUUUUGUCUUGAAUACUUCAGCAUGGAAUAAUAGAGUAGGACUUUGGUUCUAUUUUGUUGGUUAUUGAACCUUAGUAAUGGUUAAUAGGAACGGUUGGGGGCAUUCGUAUUUAACUGUCAGAGGUGAAAUUCUUAGAUUUGUUAAAGACGAACUACUGCGAAAGCAUUUGCCAAGGACGUUUCCAUUAAUCAAGAACGAAAGUUAGGGGAUCGAAGACGAUCAGAUACCGUCGUAGUCCUAACCAUAAACUAUGCCGACUAGUGAUGGAG